UAUAUGUGUGUGUGUGUGUGUGUGUGUGUGUGUGGACACACACAAACAUACACACACACACACAAAAUUACAUUUA
rnacentral:miRNA from 1 species